rnacentral:rRNA from 1 species
AUUAUGCUACCUUUGCACAGUUAAAAUACUGCGGCCAUUUAAAAAUUUUCAGUGGGCAGGUUAGACUUUAAAUUUAAUUCAAAAAGACAUGUUUUUGUUAAACAGGCGGAUAUUAUUUUUGCCGAAUUCUUUACUUAAACUUACCAUUUAAAUUUAUUUUACAAUAAAAUAUACUAAUUUUAUCAUUAUUACUUAAUUUUAAAAAUUAAAAUUAAUAUUUCAAUAAAAAUUUAAAAUAUAAUAAAUAAUUUAAUGAGAUAAAAUAAAUUAUAACAGAUUUUUUAAUAAUUGCUAAUUCUAAGCAUAUAAUUUUUAAAUUUAUUUAUUAUUUAUAAAAAUUUAUUUUAUAGCUUAUCCCAUAAAAUAUUAAAAUUAUAAAUUAUUUAAUUAAAAAAUUUUUUAAAUAAAUUUAUAAUUUCUAAAUUAAAUUUAUUUCUUGAAAAACUAGAUACCUUUAAAAACGAAUAACAUUUCAUUUCUAAUGCGAUAUUUAAAAUAAUUUUAUUACAUUAACUUUCAUAUCACACUAACUCUUUUAAAAUCGAGAAAAAUAUACUUAAAUAUUUUUUAUUUAAUAAACGCUGAUACACAAGGUACAAUAAAUUAAAUUUUCUUUUAAAAUAAAAAUUUUUCAAAAUAUUUCAAUUUUCUUUUACAAUACUAUUAAACUAUUAUUAAAAUUAUUUUUUCUUUAAACAAUACUAAAACUUUUUUCUAUAUAAAUAUUUUUAAUACUUUUUCAUAAAAUAAAUAAAAUUAAUAAAUAAAAUCUAA